rnacentral:rRNA from 1 species
UACGUAGGGGGCAAGCGUUGUCCGGAUUUAUUGGGCGUAAAGAGCGUGUAGGCGGCCAAGCAGGUCAGCUGUGAAAAACUCGAGGCUCAACCUCGAGACGUCGGUUGAAACCGCUUGGCUAGAGUCCGGAAGAGGAGAGUGGAAAUUCCUGGUGUAGCGGUGAAAAUGCGCAGAUAUCAGGAAGAACACCUAUGGCGAAGGCAGCUCUCUGGGGACGGUACUGACACUGAGGAGCGAAAAGCGUGGGGGGAGCGAACAGG